rnacentral:rRNA from 1 species
GAUGAACGCUGGCGGCGUGCCUAACACAUGCAAGUCGAACGGAGUCGUUUUGGAAAUCUCUUCGGAGAUGGAAUUCUCGACUUAGUGGCGGACGGGUGAGUAACGCGUGAGCAAUCUGCCUUUAAGAGGGGGAUAACAGUCGGAAACGGCUGCUAAUACCGCAUAAAGCAUUAAAUUCGCAUGUUUUUGAUGCCAAAGGAGCAAUCCGCUUUUAGAUGAGCUCGCGUCUGAUUAGCUAGUUGGCGGGGUAACGGCCCACCAAGGCGACGAUCAGUAGCCGGACUGAGAGGUUGAACGGCCACAGUGGGACUGAGACACGGCCCAGACUCCUACGGGAGGCAGCAGUGGGGAAUAUUGCGCAAUGGGGGAAACCCUGACGCAGCAACGCCGCGUGAUUGAAGAAGGCCUUCGGGUUGUAAAGAUCUUUAAUCAGGGACGAAACAAAUGACGGUACCUGAAGAAUAAGCGCCGGCUAACUACGUG